UGAAAGAGCGGAAAAACGCGAGAAGCGGUGUUCCUUCUACACAGAGGCUAGAGUGCGGAUCGGCUGAGUCGGCUGCAGGCGCCCCUGCCUCCGUCAGCGUCCAGGCCGAAAGAAUGAGGGUCGUGAUCAACUCAGUAUGCCACUGGAGGCUAUAUGAGUAAACAGCAAACUGUUUCUCAUGAAAGCAGGAUGUUGGCAAACUGACAAACUGCGUCUGCCACCCAGAAGGAAUGCUGAAGGCAGUCACGACCCAGGCACAAGUGUUUCUUGUGAUUAGGCAUAAUUGAAGCCUGUUAACAAUAAUGUGAACUUGUGAUCAAUUAAGCAGCUGACCAGUCGUUACCUCCUCCUCCCUUUCAUCCUACCCAAUAAAUGUGGAGGGCUGUGGAAGCUCAGGGGCUGCCUUUGCUCACUAGAAGCAGGGAGCUCUCUUCUUCCCCAGUUCGCCUUCUUUAAAAC
rnacentral:lncRNA from 10 species